rnacentral:rRNA from 1 species
GACGAACGCUGGCGGCGUGCCUAACACAUGCAAGUCGAACGAGGUCCAUGCAGUGGCAACACUGCGGAAGACCUAGUGGCGAACGGGUGAGUAACACGUGAGGAACUUGCCCCGGAGACCGGGAUAACCCUCCGAAAGGAGAGCUAAUACCGGAUGUCCUCACCGAGUCGCAUGGCUUGGUGAGGAAAUGGAUUCCGCUCCGGGAGAGCCUCGCGGCCUAUCAGCUUGUUGGCGGGGUAACGGCCCACCAAGGCAUCGACGGGUAGCUGGUCUGAGAGGACGAUCAGCCACACUGGGACUGAGACACGGCCCAGACUCCUACGGGAGGCAGCAGUGGGGAAUAUUGGACAAUGGGCGCAAGCCUGAUCCAGCCAUGCCGCGUGAGUGAUGAAGGCCCUAGGGUUGUAAAGCUCUUUCACCGGUGAAGAUAAUGACGGUAACCGGAGAAGAAGCCCCGGCUAACUUCGUGCCAGCAGCCGCCGUAACAC